GCAGAGUAGGCUGCGGAGCGUUAAGUGCCUGGCGGACAGGGAGUUGCCGCCGGGACGAAAAGGAGAGUUUUGAAAAAGUUCUCCUUGCGGUUCCGCUGCCGCAUCCCGCUGC
rnacentral:ncRNA from 1 species